rnacentral:tRNA from 1 species
GUGCCCUAGUUCAAUUUGGCAGAAUGUGGGUCUCAAAAAUCCAAUGUUGUGGGUUCAAAUCCUACGGAGCACU